CCUACGGGUGGCAGCAGUGGGGAAUCUUUGACAAUGGGCGCAAGCCUGACCCAGCAACGCCGCGUGGAGGAAGAAGGCUUUCGGGUUUUAAACUUCUUUUCUCAUGGACGAAGCUAGUGACGGUACCUGCGCAAUAAGCCACGGCUAACUACGUUGCAGCAGCAGCGGUAAUACUGAGGUGGCAAGAGGUAUUCGGAUUUACGGGGCGUAAAGAGCAUGUAGGCGGGACUGGAAGUCAGAUGUGAAAACCGCGGGCUCAACCUGGGGCCGGCAUAGGAUACUGCUAGGCUGGAGUGAUGGAGGGGGAAGCGGAAUUCGUGGGGUAGCGGUGAAAUGCGUAGAUAUCAGGAGGAACACUAGUGGCGAAGGCGGGUUGCUGGACGGUAACUGACGCUGAGGCUCGAAAGCGAGGGGAGCGAAAAGGAUUAGAUACCCGUGUAGUC
rnacentral:rRNA from 1 species